AUUUAUUCAUCUUUCUUUCACAUGCUCCCCGUUCUCUCUUUCUUCUUCCUUCACAAAUUUCAUUCUUCUAUCCUCCGGCUUAUUCCCCCUAAUGCCCUGAAGUCUCCAUCGCUCUGCAGCUUCUCCAACUCAACUUACCACGAUCAAAAUUUUACAUCCCUCCUCUGUGCUCUCACAUGCUUUCUGUUAGUUGAAAAAGCACCUCCCUAAGCCCUAGCUUUCAACAAAAUCCUCUCCAAACCUUCGCGAUCACGUGAGAAUGGCAACGGAGUCCUUUGGAGAUGCCAACGGCAAAUUGUGAGCCCCCCGGGAGGCGUUGUAAUGUGAGUGAUAGAGGCAGACUCUCAAGGGAGAACUCUCUCAAAUUCCGAAGGACAAACCCAACGGAAAAGAUAACUUUCCUUCUCUUUUCCCUUUUUAUUUUACUAUUUUAUUUGAUGUCUAAUGUGUUUUGAAGGUCAUGAUUUGAGUGCCGACAAGUUCUGGUAGUGAUGACUCUGGCUUAUUUGAUCGGGGUCUCGAUUUUCGAGUCAAGGGUUAGGAGCUCAGGUUUAGGGUUGGAGAUGGAUUAUGUAUCCUGGAGUGUGUGAACACUGUUGAGGUUUGGUUAGGGUAGGGACAGAAGCCGGAGGUUAAGGAUAGAAACGAGUUGACUCGUUUCUAACACAGUUAGUAAUACUCGGGUCGACUCGUGUGAGUCAACCCGGUGAGUCGAAUGGGCUCGGUGAACCUCGAGUCAGACUCGAGGGAGUGUGUUGGAUUUUGGCUAAGUGGAGCUAAAAUUGGGUUUGAUUCAAAACUGGAUGGGCCGGGUUGUUUUGAGUUAAGAAUGGGCUUCUAGUAUUAUUUAAAACAGAGGUGAGCUGGGUCAGUCUCAGUUGGGUUUGGGUUUGAUUUAAAACGCAGGAAGGCUUGGGAGUUGAAAUUUUUGAAAUGGGCUUGGUUUUCAAAAUGGGCUCUAUGUGGAUCUCGUGGAUUAUCUGGGAAAUGGGCUUUGGUUUUAAAAUCUGGAAAUGGGCUUCAGUGGGUUUUAAAACAGGUGCUGGGGGUAUUGAAUUGAAAGGUGGGCCUUGGAUUGAUUUUCAAAAUGGGCUUUGAGGGAUUUAAAUGGAUGGGCCUAGGUUGACUUCUUUUGAAACGAGGCCUCGGUUAAUUCCUAAAACGGGCUGGGGUUCAACCUUUCGAAAUGGGCUUGGCCCAGUGGAAUUCUAACAUGAGCUUGAGUUGACAACUAAACUGGCCCGAGGUUUAGUUUUUUAAAACAGGGUUGGGUUUGACUCGGGGGUAAACUUUUGAAUGGGCUUUGUUCACCACUGGGCCAGACCAAAACAGAGGAGCAUAGUGAAGUUAGAAAUGGAUAGGCGCGGUUAGGCUUCAAAGCUUGAAGAUGGGCUUGCUUUUGAAACAAAAGGGAGUCGGUGGGUUAUGCAGGAGUGUUUCGAACCCGAACCCAAGUUCGGAAGCCUGAAUCCGGAUUGAAGUGAGAACCUAAGACUCCCAGGGACACCUACACUUGCACUCGCACACAAUUCAUAUGUGAACUAAACAAAAUGGAAGUGAGAGUUACACUCUUACCUUUUCUUUCCACUCCACCUUUCUUCUUCUCCAGUCUGUCUGGGUUGUCUGUGCCUGCAUUCUGAGGUGGAAGGUUAUUUGCUCCAUCGCUCAGAAUCCUGAGGUUGAAUGUAGCUCUUGGUGCUCUGACCUCUUCACAGAGUCCCCUCCCUCUCUCUCUCAUUGGCUUUCUGAACUUUCUUUGCUCUCCCUUUUUAAAUAGGCAAGACCUCUCUACUCUUAAUUACUCUCUUUUCUCUUCUCAAUUUUUGCAGGGUUAUGCCCCAUUUCUUUCCUCUUGGUUUUUUUUUUCUCCUAAUUUCUGCAGAGCAUUUCUAUGCUCCCCGGCCCCUUCUCAAUCUCAGCAGGGUUUCUCCACUCCCUCUUUUCUAAUUUUCGCAGAAUUCUCUUACCUUCCCCGCCUUUUUUUAUGCUACGGUGAUGGGGGCUCCCCUUUUAUAGGGAGUCCGAGGGUGCAUUUGGCGCUGCAGAUGAGGAAUGGAGGGCUUUUUGAGUGCCCCCAGGUGGCGUCUCGGGAAUGGACGACCUGGUGGCUCUCAGUUUGUCCAGGUGGCGCUCAAAGAGAGGAGGGCUUUUGGGAGUUCCAGGUGGAGAGUGGGAAUUGGCGGGGGAUAUGAAGGUACUCCCAUAUGGCUGGCAGGGAUAGGCUCAACAUCUUUAUUUUGAUUUUGUAUUUCUUUCCUGAUGUAUGUGUACCGAUGUAUUCCUCCCAUGUUACCCUUUUGAUUAUUCUUUUAUGAUGUAUGUGUAUCAAUUUUGACCAUUUAUUUGACUAAUUUUGACCA